UGAUUCAGGUUACUUUUUUAC
rnacentral:piRNA from 1 species